rnacentral:rRNA from 1 species
UACAGAGGUCUCAAGCGUUGUUCGGAUUCAUUGGGCGUAAAGGGUGCGUAGGCGGCGCGGUAAGUCGGGUGUGAAAUUUCGAGGCUUAACUUCGAAACUGCAUUCGAUACUGCCGUGCUUGAGGACUGGAGAGGAGACUGGAAUUUACGGUGUAGCGGUGAAAUGCGUAGAUAUCGUAAGGAAGACCAGUGGCGAAGGCGGGUCUCUGGACAGUUCCUGACGCUGAGGCACGAAAGCGUGGGGAGCAAACAGG